UACAGAGGGGGCAAGCGUUGUUCGGAAUUACUGGGCGUAAAGGGUGCGUAGGCGGCCUUCUAAGUCGAACGUGAAAUCCCUGGGCUCAACCCAGGAACUGCGUCCGAUACUGGAAGGCUUGAAUCCGGGAGAGGGAUGCGGAAUUCCAGGUGUAGCGGUGGAAUGCGUAGAGAUCCGGAAGAACACCGGGGGCGAAGGCGGCUCGCUGGGCAUGGUCCGACGCUGAGGCGCGAAAGCGUGGGGAGCGAACAGG
rnacentral:rRNA from 1 species